UGGAGUGGACGCCCUGUAAGGGUAGGGCCUGGCCCAUGUCAUUCCCAGCUGGCUCUUCUAUGGCAAGAACGGGCAAGGAACCGGCAUUCGUCGAGCGGACGGCGAAGCAUGCUGUUAGCGUUGUGCUGGGCGACCCAGGGUCCCAGCGUGCGAUUAGAGCGGGAGGUGGACAGGUGAGGUUCGUGGGCUGUGGUCGCUGCGUGCCUUUGUCAUCGGGGCAUGGCGGGGAGGGUCCAUGUGGCCUGGGAGGGGCAGAAGAGCUCGAAGGGGCCAGUGCUCCGGGAGUCCGUGUUGUCCAGGGCGGGGUCCUGGGGCUACAAGCUUUUCGAGGGCCUACGUGAGUACUGGAAAAGGGGUUACUGCCUCCGAAACAGGAAGAGAAAACUGCAGCAUUGGUGCGAGCAUGUUUAAUCGAGCGUCUGCCAGGUGGACCAGCACGCCGACUCGUCAACGGCGAUUCCACGCAGCUGCUACAGGACACACCUCCUGUGGGGAUGGUAGGAGGCACAGCGUGCGUCACACCUUCCGCGGAGUCCCUGGCUGAGGAAGCCACACGAAGUGUUUGCCGUGGAGCGCACACCUCUUCGACGAUGCCGAUGGAACCCCAGUCACUUCUUCCAGGCUCCUCUUCAUAAAUCACCGUGAUUUUGGAAGGAUGUUUUGCUAAGGCACAUUUUUCCCGCUUCCUCCCUUCCCUCUAAGGAGUUAAGCUUUUGCACUCCCCCCUCCUUCCUGUCUCGCUCCUCCCUUAUUCCCCAUGGGCAAAGCAGUGACAUCUGAGGUCUGUGCUGGGGCACUUUGCCGUGGGCCGGGGAGAGCAGAGCUUGGCAGGGGUGUGGGGACAGCCCCAGAUGUCCAGGGGGGCAGGUCUGCUGCUGCCCCCUGCGAAGGGAAUGUGCUCACCCCACCUGCGUGGGGCAUGCUAUGCGUUUCCGGGACCGCAGGAAGCCUGCACCCGAGGUGCCGAGUGCUCUUGUGUCUGGGGUCUGAAAUCUGAAAUCAGCAUGGGGACCAAAUGCGGAGCAACAAGUUGUGUGUGAGUGUGACGAGUAUGUGUAAGUGUGAGAGAUGUGAAUGUGUGUGAUGUGAGUGUGGUGUGUGCAUACAUGUGAGUGUGAGUUGAUGGGUGUGUGUAUGGGACGUGACUGCCAUGUGUGAGCGUGAAUGUAGGUGUGUUUGUGCAUGUGUGAGAGUAUGUUUAUGAGUGUGCUGUGUGUAUGGUGUGUGUAUGGGAUGUGUGACUGAGCGUAUGACUCUGUGUGAGUGUUUUGAGUGUGGUUCUACAUGCCAGCAGUUUACAGUUUUGUUUGUUUAAAAACACCAUCCUGAGAAACAGAUGUAGCUCAAGCAAUCAGGCAUUGCCUACCACAUGCGAGAUCCAGGGUUCGGUUCCCAGUGCCUCCUAAAGAAGACGAGCAAGACAGUGAGCUGACGCGAUGGGUAGCGUGGCGAGCUGAUGCAACAAGAUGAUGUAUUGAGAUGAUGCAACAAGGAGACAAUGAGGAAACACAAUGAGAGACACAACAAGCAGGGAGUGGAUGUGGAUCAAGCAAUUGGGCACCUCCCCCCCACAUGGGAGGCCCUAGGUUUGGUUCCCAGUGCCUUCUAAAGAAGAUGAGUUAACACACAGAGCAAACAAUGAACAGAUAAGAGAGCAGACAGCGAGUGCAGACAACGAUGAGGGUGGUGGUGGGAGAAAUAAGUAAAUCUGAAAAAGCCCCACCAUUCUGACUUACCUUACAAGAUGAAAGGUCCCUUAGAACUUGAAGGUGCCUUUUUGGAGGUGGCGCCUCACUCCUGACGUCCUGACGCCGCAGCAGUCCUCUCUGCUAUCUGAAUUCAGCUCUUACACCUUCUCCUCAUCUGAUUCUCCUUGGAAACCACUUACUGGACAGCAGUGAGAGGGAGCCAAUAUGGUUUUACCCCUUCCUUAAACUCAACUUUGGUGACCCUAUAAAAAAUAGGCAAUCAUUAGCCUUGCUCAUGGUAAGAAUGGAGAAGGAAAUCACCUUCCUUUCGACAACAGGAACUAUCAACUAUUACAGCCACUGCAUUGUAACUCUUUCCUACAGUAGGUAAUAGAUGCACAAGAAAAAGAACACAGAAAUAAACCCUGAGGAUUUCCUUGCAAACUUCCUUUCUCCUCUUUGUUCCUGUCUCCAGUCUCCUGCCUCCUCUGUGGUAUGGGUUCUCUUCUCUCUGAUUCUCUCUUCAGGCAGUCAUGAUAUUUGCAUAUUAAGAAACUCUUUGUAGGUUUUCUACCAUUGUAUGAAGAAAGACGUGCCAGUGCUGUGUCAAAAAAAAGUCACAUUCUGAACACUUUUAAAAUGUGUGCAUUCAAAUCAAGAUAAAUAUAUUCGUUAACGGAGAGGGAUUUAUUUAUCAAAGGAUUUAAUAAAAUACUUUUAUUGCAUUUAUAGCAAAUAUCUAAUAAAGGACUAGCAGAGCUGAAAUUAUAGCACAUGCAAAUAUGUUUCUUGAAAAGUGAUUUCAAUGUACCCAUACAAUAAAAAAAAUUUUCAAUUUCUAAAAAAGCAAU
ensembl:lincRNA